CUCCUACGGGAGGCAGCAGUGGGGAAUAUUGCGCAAUGGGCGAAAGCCUGACGCAGCGACGCCGCGUGGAGGAUGAAGGUCUUCGGAUUGUAAACUUCUGUUAAGUGGGAAGAAAAAUUUGCGUUUAAUACACGCAAGGAAUGACGGUACCAUUAGAGAAAGCACCGGCUAACUUCGUGCCAGCAGCCGCGGUAAUACGAAGGGUGCAAGCGUUAUUCGGAUUUAUUGGGCGUAAAGGGUGCGUAGACGGUAUAUUAAGUCUAUUGUUAAAUCUUCUGGCCUAACCAGAAAUCUGCAGUAGAUACUGAUGUGCUAGAGGGUGGAAGAGAGAAGUGGAAUUCUCGGAGUAGCGGUAAAAUGCGUAGAUCUCGAGAGGAACACCAAUGGCGAAGGCAGCUUCUUGGUCCACACCUGACGUUGAGGCACGAAAGCGUGGGGAGUAAACAGGAUUAGAUACCCUGGUAGUCCACGCUGUAAACGAUGAUCACUAGACGUUAGUUCUGUUUUACAGAAUUAGUGUCGUAGCUAACGCGAUAAGU
rnacentral:rRNA from 1 species